rnacentral:lncRNA from 1 species
GGGCUUGGGGAGUGUGGCGUGUGGUGUGCAGGCUCACCCUGUUCUGCACUUGCCCAGGUGAAGGCUGGCACAGUCUGCACACGUGCAUUAUUUACGUACAAUUAAGUGUGAUCUUCCCACACACAUUGUCAUAGAUCAUGGGCAUGUGCAACUACAUGUAUGACAUACACAUGUGGGACCUUAAACAACAUACCCGAGUAUACAUGUGUGGGCAUUCAUGAUGGUGCACAUGUGCACACCUGGUGGGCAAAAGCCCAGAGUGUUUGCCCAUGACUGUUAUCUAUUUAUAAGCAUGUGAAAAAGGACACAAGAUGUACAUAUGAACAGAAGGUGCCAGGAAGUCUAUAUGUCAAUCAAAGUCCAAGUACGCACUAUACCCGUGGUGUGAGUCUACAUUUGUGGGAGUCUUUGCAUACAGACAUAUCUGUAUGUGAACAAUGUUGGUCCCUGUGGUUUGCCCACCUGCAUCUAUGCAUUUGUUCACGUGGAUGUACCCAAGUCCCUGGUCAGACCAGGAGCACCUCAGUGGCUCCUGGGAAAGAGGAAAGCAGGACUCACGUUGCCCAGGUCCAGGAUGAAGCAGUCGCCAUUGUUGAAGCUCUCCCAGGACACAGGUACCUCGGUGGCACGGACCACACGCCGCCCUUUGACCUGGAAGAGUCUCUGCACCACCACCUCGUUGGGUACCACGUGCUUGAAUCCUGAUGCCACACCUCCUUUCUGUGGGGCCAAAGAGACAGCAUUAGCCCAGGGGAGAAGGCCCAGGGAAGCAGAUAUGGAAGAAGGGGACAGAAUUGAGGUAAAGGAAAUUCUGGCUUGUGGACCAGCGGCUUUCCAGCAACACAGUGAUUCUCAGUUAACUCAGGACUUUCAUACCCAUUAUCUUGUUUGAGACUGUUUCAGAGUAGGAAACUGAGGUUUAGGAAAGGAAUAAAAUUUGCCCAAGGCCACACAGCUAAGAAGUGAGAGAUUCCCUGCCCACU